UUAAAUAAUUACUUAAAUGUGUCAUUAAUUAAUUAAAAUACCGAUUCAUUGUAUGUGAAAUGCAUAUAUAACUAUUUCACUAUUUACAUUUCAUGAUCCUGCAUUGCAGCGCUUCAUGAAUUACUUAAAACUGUCAAACUGACCCAUCAAAAGUUGGUAGGCGGAACCUGAACGCCUGAUUGGUUACCCUGUGCAUCAAGUCAAGACAAAUCAAUUCCAGGUAAUGGAUCGCUGCAGAGCUACUGAACACAUUCCAAUACACUGGGUGGCGCUAUUCACCUCUACGUUGGUUUGGAUACGCUGUUAAACAGAACUUUCAUUGCAACGGCGGAGAGAUGACGCGGUCCUGCUAGACCCAAUGACCAAGGACGCAGACGCCGUGCGAGGUGCAGGACAAAAUGUCAAAAAGUUGCCCGGAGCUGCUGAGAGAAGCAGCGAAUUUGAUUGAGGAAGCUCUGAGCAGAAGUCCAACGGCUCCGUCGUCACAGAAGAUACCGGCCGCUCAAUCACGUACACAAAGCUCCAACAAGGGGGAGGCUUUGAAUUUCUAAAACUUGUAGGAUCUACUCUCAGUCGAAAUCUUGCAUUGCUUCAAUGUCCCAGCACUGGAUCCACCCUUGCCUAUCUGAAAGAUCCAUCGACGAUGAUUGGACAGGCUACAAUCUACAUACGUCCACUUCAACAGGAUCUACCCUUAGAUUGUGUACAUAAAUUUACAGUGACCUAGUUUAAUACAAAAUCAAAACAAAGAUUACUAGUGACUUUUAAUCAUUAAUUAAAAUCCAUUUGUUGUUGUUAGGAGAGCUCACGUCCUGCCUCUGGUCCAGUCAUCCCCUGCAUCACUUGUCAGAAGGAAGUUCCCUUUUCAGAGGUGAAGCUCCACAGAUUGAGCUGCAAUGGGUAUGUACUUCCUAAAGCAAUGCAAAGGUAGCAUAUUCGUUUUCUUUGGGAAUAUGUCCUCUUAGAGUGUUGUGCACACAAAUAAGCCAGUAUGACCAUCAUUUCAAUUGUGUUCACUUCAAGGACACCCAUGCAGGAAAGAGAACAAGAGGGAGGCCAAAGGGAAGAAAAUGAUAGUGAGACAGCCCUAGUCAGUGACAGUGUUCCAGUGAGGUCUGAAACAUCAGCUGAGAGUGCAGUAGUUCCAGCAGUGAUUGUCAACGAGGAGUUGGAUCGCAAAGAAACAGUGUGUGUGUCAUCACAAAUGUGUUAUAAGAUUGUGUGUAACUGAAAAGUCAAUAGAAAGAUAACACUUGUAAGAUAUAAUUGGAUAAGAUAAUACAGUUACAGGCAAUUAAUAACAUGCACCUGGGUUUUUCUAUUUUUCUCAUAUUUAGUUUUUGUUGAAUGCCGUUUUUAUGUCAACUCAGCGUUGUGACAGAUUUUGGGAAACCACUUAGAAUGAAGAUGGAUGUAAGGGAGUCUGAAGAGGACCGGGAACGGGAGCUUCUCUUAUUCUAUAAACAGCAGCAAGAAUGGGCAUGUCCUCUUCAUUGUACUCUGGUUGGUAAGUAAUAUAAAGUUUAUAAUAUAAAUACACCAGUACAGUUUAUACCACUCAAGUAGCAUAUAUGGAAUUGUCCCAUUCGAAAAUGGGAGAAUGGAAUGCACAAAAUUAUAUAAUUGAUAAAAAUGUUAUGUAUGUGAAUAUUGUGCACAAUAUACUUUUAUGUGGAAUAAUCAAUAUUAAGGAUGCUGGUCUAGAAUUACAGCCAAUAGAAUUUUGACUAUUUUUCUCCCUUGCUUGUUAAAUGUUAGCUAAUCCAGUUACCUGUAUUUCUCCGCCACUUUUUUUCCACUGUGUUAUUAUCGGUAGUUUAUUUCAGGUGAUGUUGCUGUUGGAGAGGGAGUGAUGCGGUACUUUAUGACAACAAUCAUAUCCAAACUCCAGUUUGGAUUCAGUCUAGAUCUUGGAGGAAUGGGCCGAACACUGCUAUUUGAGGGUGAACCUGACCAUCUUGUUCCAGCAGCAUCAGAGGCACUUAUUGAAAGCAACCUCUUCUGGGUUGCAGGAAGGAUGUUGGCCCACACCUUUCUGCAUGACGGUCCCCAUGUCACAGGAUUAAGUCCUGCUGUAAUUCAUGUACUGUUCAAUGGGGACCCUGAAAUGGCUACUGUUGUUGUUGAAGACUGUCCUGAUCUGCACAUCAGGAGCAUCAUAGAACUUUUAUGUAACCUAAAAGAAACUUUGCCAUGUAAAAAAUAUUGCUUGGGCAGAUAUAAUAAAUAGUAUGGUCCUUAUUCUAUCUUGAACAAGAAGAACUUGUUCUUGGAACAGAAAGAAACAGUUUCAGAUCUUUCCAUGUCUUGGGAUCAUCCGGCAGUCACCAAAACAAAUCGGAGAUGGCUACAUAAUAAACUUCUACUCCAUGCAGUCGUUGGGAGGACCAUGCGCCAAAUUAAACAGUUGACAAAGGGACUGAAAGAUGUGAUGGUAUGGCCCCUGCUGACAUCUAGGCCAGAUGUUGUCCCACUUCCUUUCCCCAAAAUGGCUGAAAUGCAGUUCACACCCCAGAUGCUCCUAGAAAAAUCACAUGGCCAGUUGAGGACAGUGAUGAUGAAGACUUUGACUUGGACACCACCUGCCGCUUCACUGGCUUUCUAAGGAUGUUCAUUGAAACAGCUUCAUCAGGUACCCUGGCCCAGCUGCUGACAUUCUGGGUUGGCUGGGAGAUGCUUCCUCCUGAACUGACAGUGGAGAUUUCUGAGGGAACCCUUCCUAUGUCCUCCACAUGCUUUGAAACACUAAACCUGCCAUCCAUCCAUCCAUCCAUCGUCAAACCGCUUAUCCUGCAGACAGGGUCGCGGGGGGGCUGGAGUCCAUCCCAGCCAACUUUGGGCGAUAGACCGGGUACAUCCUGGA